AGCCUUCUGUGUCAGUGGCAAGAUUUCGUCAGACACCAGACCAUCAGGAUUGAUGAGACUCCCAAGAUAAGUGAGGCG
rfam:Schistosoma mansoni strain Puerto Rico chromosome 1, complete genome